UACGAAGGGGGCUAGCGUUGUUCGGAUUUACUGGGCGUAAAGCGCACGUAGGCGGAUUGGUCAGUUAGGGGUGAAAUCCUGGAGCUCAACUCCAGAACUGCCUUUAAUACUGCCAGUCUCGAGUCCGGAAGAGGUAAGUGGAACUCCUAGUGUAGAGGUGGAAUUCGUAGAUAUUAGGAAGAACACCAGUGGCGAAGGCGGCUUACUGGUCCGGUACUGACGCUGAGGAGCGAAAGCCAGGGGAGCAAACGGG
rnacentral:rRNA from 1 species